rnacentral:misc_RNA from 1 species
AAGUCGUAACAAGGUUUCCGUAGGUGAACCUGCGGAAGGAUCAUUAGCGAAGUCCGGAACGCCUGUUCGGUGCUGAUGCUGCCCAGCAAUGGGACGUGCUCGCCCGGCUUGCGUCCCUUCUCUAUUCCACCCCACUGUGAACCAAGCGUGCGAGCAGAAGAGAGAUCGGAAGCUUGCACGCAAACCUUUAACAUACCCCCUAAUGAAGUAUCAGAAUGUACCUUGCGUUAACUCGCACAAAUACAACUUUCAACAACGGAUCUCUUGGCUCUC